AUAGUGGGGCCCACGAGCAGGAGCAAGGCGGCACACCUCUCGUCUCGACAACGGCGGCGGCGGCGGCGGCGGCGGCGCGCGCGCGCGGUGCUCGGUGAAAUGCCCGCGCGAGCCGGGGGCUCUUGAAUACGACGCCACGCUCCCCAUGCUCGCCGCGCGCGGCCUCCGUCGUCUUGCGGCGGCGAUAUGCCUCGCGCGUCGCUCUUCGUCGGCGGUGGCAGCGCUCCCGGCGGCCGGGGCCGCGCGGUUCCACGACUACGACGCCGCCGUCACGGAGUGCAUCGAGAGGCGGGCGCUCCGGGUGGGGCGGCCGGUGCACGCGCGCAUGGUGGCGGCGGGGUACCGCCCGGCGCUGUACCUGGCGACGCGGCUGGUCAUCAUGUACGCGAGGUGCGGCGCGCUGGGGGACGCGCGGAACGUGCUCGACGGGAUGCCCAAGCGAAACGUGGUUUCGUGGACGGCCAUGAUUUCGGGGUAUUCUCAGAACGAACGGCCUGCCGAGGCCUUGGAGCUGUUCAUCACAAUGCUCAGAGCUGGAUGCGAGCCUAACGAAUUCACUUUAUCAUCAGUCCUUACAUCAUGUACUGGUUUUCAAGGCAUACAUCAGGUCAAGCAAGUCCAUGCUUUUGCUGUCAAAACAAAUUUUGAGUUACACAUGUUUGUAGGGAGUGCCCUUCUUGACAUGUAUGCCAAGUCAGAGAAUGUCCAGGAAGCUCGGAGGGUGUUCGAUAUGCUUCCAGCAAGGGAUGUUGUUUCCUAUACCGCCAUUAUAUCUGGCUACACUCAUCUGGGCCUUGAUGAGGAAGCCUUGGGUUUGUUCAGGCAGUUGUACAAUGAGGGGAUGCAAAUGCAAUGCAAUCAAGUUACCUUCACAACCCUUCUCAAUGCACUGUCUGGCCUUGCUUCCCUCGAUUAUGGCAAGCAGGUUCAUGGGCUAAUACUUCGAAAAGAGUUGCCAUUUUUCAUGGCUUUACAGAAUUCUUUGAUUGAUAUGUACUCCAAAUGUGGCAAGCUUUUAUACUCACGAAGGGUAUUUGACAACAUGCCAGAGAGAUCAGUCGUCAGCUGGAAUGCGAUACUUAUGGGGUAUGGAAGGCAUGGCUUAGCGCGUGAAGUUGCUCAGCUUUUUAGAUCUAUGCCUGAAGAAGUAAAUCCUGACAGUGUUACUCUGUUGGCUGUUUUGUCUGGCUAUAGUCAUGGUGGGCUUGUUGAUGAGGGCCUUGAUAUGUUUGAUCUUAUAGUCAAAGAACAGAGCACACUCCUCAAUAUUGAACAUUAUGGGUGUGUUAUUGAUCUUCUUGGGCGUUCUGGACGACUUCAAAAGGCACUAAAUUUGAUACAAAAGAUGCCAUUUGAACCAACUCGAGCAAUUUGGGGUUCAUUGCUUGGUGCGUGUAGAGUUCAUGUUAAUAUUCCUGUUGGUGAGCUUGUCGCUCGGAAGCUUCUUGACAUUGAACCAGAAAAUGCUGGCAACUACGUGAUCCUUUCUAAUAUCUAUGCUGCUGCUGGGAUGUGGAAAGAUGUUUUCAGAGUGAGGAAGUUAAUGUUGAAGAAUACAGUGAUAAAGGAACCAGGGCGGAGCUGGAUGAUUCUUGACAAGGUUAUUCAUACCUUCCACUCUAGUGAGCGUUUCCACCCCAGGAAAGAAGAUAUAAAUGCUAAGAUUAAGGAGAUAUACAUUGAUAUUAAAGCAGCUGGUUUUAUUCCUGACCUGAGCUGUGUACUUCAUGAUGUUGAUGAUGAGCAGAAAGAACGCAUGCUUCUGGGCCACAGUGAGAAGCUAGCCAUAACUUUUGGAUUGAUGAGCACUCCUUCAGGCUUGCCCAUCCAGGUUAUGAAGAAUCUUCGCAUCUGUGUUGACUGCCACAAUUUUGCAAAGGUUGUUUCGAAAGUUUAUGGAAGAGAAAUAUCCCUCAGAGACAGAAAUCGCUUUCAUCUAAUUACAGAAGGAGCUUGCACCUGUGGAGAUUACUGGUGAAAGUGCUAUACUGCUCAAAUUGCUUUGCUGAUAGGAGAGCUGUCCUUGUGAUAAUACUGCAGAUGAUAUGCAAUGGUCCACUGAACACACUGAGAGGAACUAAUGGAACAUAUCAAUAUCAUGUGCUCCACCUUCUGAUUUCAGAUUACUACAGUUCAGAAAGGAAUUUUUGCAAAGAAUGUACCUUACCUAAACCAUUCUAAUAAUAACUUCACAUGCUAUGCUUGCAGACUCCCAGGGCUAUAUUGCAAUUUGCCAGAUAAUCACGUGCCUUGUAGGCAGUAUCCAUAGCAAGCACUGAAAAAUGCUUCUAAUACUGCAAACCGGCAGUUCAAACAUUUACAUUUCUGAAAAGAGUUCGUUGCUGUAGUUAGCAUUUGUAAUAUUUGUUGGCUGAUGAUAUAAAAGUUGUGUAUGCUAUGGCAUACAUUUGAUAAAAAUCUCCUGGAACAGACUGUGCCAGAAUUUCCAUUCGUACGCUCCUUCAAAAUGUAUAGUGUACACUGUAUAAAGUGGCAGUAUGUCUGUAUGACUGUAUGGAUAAAAGUCAAAUCUGAAAUUCCGUGCAUUUCUUUUCCUCCA